CAGCCGUAAACUAUGCUCGCUAGGUGUCAGGCAUGGCGCGACCGUGUCUGGUGCCGCAGGGAAGCCGUGAAGCGAGCCACCUGGGAAGUACGGCCGCAAGGCUGAAACUUAAAGGAAUUGGCGGGGGAGCACAACAACGGGUGGAGCCUGCGGUUUAAUUGGACUCAACGCCGGACAACUCACCGGGGACGACAGCAAUAUGUAGGCCAGGCUGAAGACCUCGCCUGAAUCGCUGAGAGGAGGUGCAUGGCGUAGUCGUGU
rnacentral:rRNA from 1 species